UUCACCAUCACCCACAUUUCCCUUUCUGAGAAACAACUAAGGUGGUGAUAUAAAAUAACAGAACCUGGGGCUGUGUCACACCUCCUUUGUCCCAGAGCAGCUCCUGUGUGUAAAUCAAACCAAUUCCAGCGACACUGGGCGGGGCGGGGAGCUGCUUUAAGGCUGCGUCAUGCAGGGUGUGUUUCCCUCCCCCUCCGUCUGGAGCGGGGCUGCCCUAACCCUUGAACAAAGGCCGGAAAUGGUAAGCAAACUGCUGCAAGAAGCGAAUGCCUUUCAAUCAAACUAGGGCUCGCCAGGCAAGAUCUCCCUUAAAAGGAAGCGCCCAGAGAAAGGCGUUCCCGCCGUCCUGGUUCUGGUGGGCAAAGCGCAGCAAACGUGGGGACAACAUGCAACGGGCGCCGAGAAACAGGCCGGCGGCUUCCGGCAACGCGCCGCGGGGACCCUUGGGGAUACCCAGGGCCCGAUCCGCCUGGCACGUGCGGCGUCUGCUCGCUCCUCGGCCCGGGAGCGGCCGCGUGGCCUCCAAGGUUGGACAAAGAUGACAGCCUAGUUACGUCCCCAACGCGCCUUGAUCCCCCACCCCAAGGUCGCAGGGCGAGCCGCACCCUUCGCCGCCGCCAUCUUGUUGUUUUCUUCCCGCCGGGCCACGUGACGCGUCUCUGCGGAAGCCCAGGCUCCCCCACCGCCCCAACUUCCGGCCAGACCGGUUCCAGCCGGCCCCUGCCUGCAGACGCGCAGCUGCCCCCUAGCGGCCGGCCACUUCCGGCCCCGCCCGGCCUGCCGCCAUUUCCCUCCCCGGCGGCCGCACGUCAGCGCCCUGCACCACGUCUGCGCCGUAGCGCGGCCCGCCCCGGCCUGCGCGCCCACGUUUUCUGUCGCGUUCACCGCGACCCCUGUGAAAGGAGCCUGGGUCCCUGAACGAUUGCUGGACUGAGUCCUUUCUCUCAUGCCCUCUGACAACAGGACAUGGAAGACAGGCUCUGUGUGGAGUCGGUCAGUGGAAAAGGGACUAGGUUUCCAGAACAAUGCGUCUGUGAGUCCUGCAAGUCUCCCUGCAGCUCAAGGCCUCCUGUGAGUAGAGCAGAUACUUAAAAGCCCUUUCGAUAUGUGCAUAACCUGAGCUAUAAUUUCCCAGAAGCACCUUCCAUUUCUUU